rnacentral:rRNA from 1 species
UACGGAGGGAGCUAGCGUUGUUCGGAAUUACUGGGCGUAAAGCGCGCGUAGGCGGAUUGAUUAGUCAGAGGUGAAAUCCCAGGGCUCAACCCUGGAACUGCCUUUGAUACUGUCAGUCUAGAGACCGAGAGAGGUGAGUGGAAUUUCCAGUGUAGAGGUGAAAUUCGUAGAUAUUGGAAAGAACACCAGUGGCGAAGGCGGCUCACUGGCUCGGUACUGACGCUGAGGUGCGAAAGCGUGGGGAGCAAACAGG